rnacentral:tRNA from 1 species
GGGAAUUAGCUCAGCUGGGAGAGCACCUGCUUUGCAAGCAGGGGGUCAGGGGUUCGAAUCCCCUAUUCUCC